UACGUAGGAGGCGAGCGUUGUCCGGAAUUACUGGGCGUAAAGCGCGUGUAGGCGGUCUGAAUAGUCUGCUGUGAAAGCGUCUGGCUUAACCGGGCGAGGUCGGCGGAAACUCUCAGACUGGAGGCCGGUAGAGGGGGGUGGAAUUCCGAGUGUAGAGGUGAAAUUCGUAGAUAUUCGGAAGAACACCAGUGGCGAAGGCGACUUACUGGACACAUAUUGACGCUGAGGUGCGAAAGCGUGGGGAGCAAACAGG
rnacentral:rRNA from 1 species